CCUACGGGUGGCAGCAGUGGGGAAUAUUGGACAAUGGGCGAAAGCCUGAUCCAGCCAUGCCGCGUGUGUGAAGAAGGCCUUCGGGUUGUAAAGCACCUUCAGUGGGGAAGAAAGCCUUGGGGCUAAUACCCUCGAGGAAGGACAUCACCCACAGAAGAAGCACCGGCUAACUCCGUGCCAGCAGCCGCGGUAAUACGGAGGGUGCGAGCGUUAAUCGGAAUUACUGGGCGUAAAGCGCGCGUAGGCGGUCUGAUAAGCCGGUUGUGAAAGCCCCGGGCUCAACCUGGGAACGGCAUCCGGAACUGUCAGGCUAGAGUGCAGGAGAGGAAGGUAGAAUUCCCGGUGUAGAGGUGAAAUGGGUAGAGAUCGGGAGGAAUACCAGUGGCGAAGGCGGCCUUCUGGACUGACACUGACGCUGAGGUGCGAAAGCGUGGGUAGCAAACAGGAUUAGAUACCCGAGUAGU
rnacentral:rRNA from 1 species